rnacentral:rRNA from 1 species
AAAACCGACGAGGUGGAGCAAAUCUCAAAAAGACCGUCCCAGUUCGGAUCGCAGGCUGCAACCCGCCUGCGUGAAGUUGGAAUCGCUAGUAAUCGCGGAUCAGCAUGCCGCGGUGAAUACGUUCCCGGGUCUUGUACACACCGCCCGUCACACCAUGGGAGUUGGUAACGCCCGAAGCCAGUGACCCAACCGAGAGGAGGGAGCUGUCGAAGGUGGGACCGAUAACUGGGGUGAAGUCGUAACAAGGUAUC